rnacentral:lncRNA from 1 species
CCACCCAUCCUUCGCAGCGAUCUCCUUCUCCUUCCUAUGUAUAUAGUAUCAAGAAGGAGAAAAAGCUGUGUGAACCUUCUUCUUCUCCAUCCUCAAAUUCUUCAGAAGACUCUACUCCUGGAUUAUCUCAGCAACAGCAACUCGAUGACUACGAGCACAAAUUCAAGGAGAUCGACCGUCAAUUUGUCUGACUUCAGGUAGA